rnacentral:tRNA from 1 species
GCCUUUCUAGUAUAAAAAGUACAUUUGACUUCCAAUCAAAAAGAUUGAUUAAUGAAUUCAAGAAAGACA